UCUCUUUCUUCAGAUGAUGAUCCCAAGCCUUCUGGCGAUCUCUUAAAAUAAAGCCUCACGUCAUAAUCCCUCCAGGUUUUUCAAAGAAAAACAUGCGUUUCAAGGUGCCAUGGAUUUUAAAGACCAUGGAUUUACUCAGAACUUAUGGGUUUUAAAAAAAGGCUUUAAAAGGAAAUAACUAAAAAAGCUUUUCCUGUGAUUUAAGAUGAUACCGGGGAAGGUUUUCCGGUUUAUUCCGGAGGGCUUGUAGCUCAGUUGGUUA
rnacentral:misc_RNA from 1 species